UCAGACCCCAAAACACAUUGGUUGGCCUACAAAGCACACUGCACAGCACCAACUUUCAAGCAAGCUCAUCAUGCUGACGUAUAGGCACACAUAGUAUCCCAAAUGGCACCCUAUUUGCUACAUAGUUCACUACUUUUUGACCAAGGCCCCAUAGGGCCCAUAGUGUCAGAAGUAGUGCACUAUAUAGGGAAAAGGGUGCCAUACAUUACACCACCAAGUCCAUCAGUGAUGUCCACACUACACAGUCCAAUACUUUACAACUGGCCAAAUCCCAUCUCCAACUGGCCAAGUCAACAUCUCCAACUGGCCAAGUCCCCAUCUCCAACUGGCCAAAUCCCAUCUCAAACUGCCCAAAACCCCAUCUCCAACUGGCCAAAAGCCCCAUCUCCACUGGCCAAGACCCCAUCUCUCAACUGGCCAAAGCCCCCAUCUCCAACUGGCCAAAAGCCCCAUCUCCAACUGGCCAGUCCCAUCUCCAACUGGCCAAGUCCCCAUCUCCAACUGAUAAAGACCAAGUACUAUCUCCAACUGGCCAAGUCCCCAUCUCCAACUGGGCCAAAUCCCCAUCUCCAACUGGACAAAUCCCCAUCUCCAACUGGACAAAUCCCCAAAUCCCCAUCUCCAACUGGACCCAAAUCCCACUCCAACUGCCAAUCCACCAUCUCCAACUGGCCAAGUCCCAUCUCCACGGCCAAUCCCCAUCUCCAACUGGCCAAGUCCCCAUUCCAACUGGGCCAAAUCCCCAUCUCCAACUGGCCAAGUCCCCAUCUCCAACUGGCCAAAUCCCCAUCUCCCUCAUCCACACUGGCCAAAUCCCCAUCCUCCAACUGGCCAAAUCCCCAUCUCAAACUGGCCAAAUCCCCAGCUCCAACUGGCCAAAUCCCCAUCAUCCAACUGGCCAAAUCCCCAAGCUCCCCAUCUCCGACUGGCCAAGUCCCCAUCUCCAACUGGCCAAGUCCCCAUCUCCGACUGGCCAAUCCCCAUCUCCAACUGGCCAAAUCCCAUCUCCAACUGGACAAAUCCCACUCCAACUGGACAAACCCCCAUCUCCAACGGGCCAAAUCCCCCAUCUUAAACUGGCCAAAUCCCCAUCUCCAACUGGCCAAAUCCCCAUCUCCAACUGGCCCAAAUCCCCAAGUCCCCAUCUCCGACUGGCCCAAGUCCCCAUCUCCAACUGGCCAAGUCCCCAUCUCCGACUGGCCAAGUCCC
rnacentral:lncRNA from 1 species